UCCAACUGAAGCAGGUAAUGUGCUUCUGCAGACACAGUGUCCGAGAGGAUGCGCAUCCUGAAGGGGGCUGGGGUGGGGGGGUGGCCGGUGGCCCCUGCCCCACCCGGUGCCAGAUCUGGCCAUACCCCCCAGAAGCUGGGGGUGCUGAGGAAGAGGAAGCCUUUCCAGCUGCAGGCACUGUUCCUUGUUAAAAACCAUCAUCACGGCCAGCUUUCAUCUCCUUUGACCCUGCUCACCUGGCUCUACCCCUUGCCAACAGCCAGGGCUCAGGAAACUUGCUGUUGGCUUGCCCUCCGUAGUCCUCGCCACCACCUCCCACUGUCCCCCGCUUGCUGCGAUCUGACCUCCUCAUCUGCCUACCAUCCUGCUGACGCUCCUCUGCUGAGUCACAGGGUGGCCAGGUUUCCUGACAGCCUAUCUGCAAAGUGUGGGUGUGCAGGGAGCGUUUGAAAAUGCCGUGGCUCCCGCUCAGGGAAGAAGUCAGAAGAAUACUCCGCUGCUUUGGCGUCACCAAGAUUUUUCUCCUGAGCCUCAGGAAUGGGUAGCUCGUGGCCUAUGGAGAAGACCCACUGGGGGUUCCUAAGGCAUGUUAGCCUCAGUGUGAGCAAAACCGAAGGCACCCUCCUCUCUUCCAUACCUACAGUGAUCAGACUAAGGAUUUGGCCUCCCCUGUACCCCUCUUUCAUCCUGCCUGCCGGCCUUCAACCAGCCCUCAUCAGUUCUCUGUCAGAUUUUGUUAGCAUCUCCAUCUUGGCCUCGCAGCUGGAGACAGAUGGAAAGGAAUAGGGCCAGCUUUAUGGCGGGCAUAAUUCAGUGGCCUUGACUCCAUCUGCCUGCCCUUGGCCUGGGAUGGGUUCACCCUCGGCCUGGUGGUGGGAUGCCUCAACUCUGUGAACAAAAAUGUCCUGAGGAAGCUAGAAGUUUUCCCACAGUAAGCCUCCCCUUGUAUCACUGGUCCGAACUGUUGCGUAGGCUCACUUCGGGCCCAGAGAUUAGCAAGAGGAAUGGGGUGACUCUGCUUGUGGAGAAGAUCAGGCCAACUGCUGGAGGGAGAUGGUUUCAGCUUGUCCCUGAGGGGACGGGCUCUGCUGGGGAGGAGUGGACUCCGGAGCGAAGCUGCAGCUCUCGAGGAAGAAGGAAGGGGAAGAUGCAUGCCAGCGGGGCAACCUGCAGUUUUCAUGGCCAACUCUCAGGGCAAACUUCUUAGAAGCAGUCAGCCGCCAAUAGGAACUUCAUCUUGCUUAGUCGGACCAAGCUGAAAACACUGAAAUCAAAGAUGGGCCGCUUCUCCUGUUCCACGCAGUAUGUUUUUUUUACUGAGGUGCAGCGCCUUCCAGGCCUAAAUGUUUUUUUAGCAGUUUCCUGUUACUGCUUGCCCAAGGCAGCUCAUCAAAAUAAUGCAAUAAAUAAAUAUCCCCCUAUAGCAGGUACCUGCCGUUUGCAGAUAGGAGAGCAGACUCGGGGAGUUUGCAGACUACUUAAAAUCACAAGUGACCACUGUUGAGUUGGCGGUUUGAAGUCUACCAAGCGGAGCAAGGAUGCCCCGGUGGGAGCGAGGGGCCGGGCAGAUGUACAGUUGUGGAGCUUCGGGAGCCAGUGUCCAAGCUGGCCCUCGGUGCUACUGGCCUCCUGGAAUUUGUAUCCUGUGUGGUGGGCCCCUCUUGCAUUGAUAGGGCUGCCAUUUAUUAACCAACAGGAUGUUGUAGGAAUGAUGGAUGUGACUUCUGAGAGUAGGUCCUAAAAGACAUUGUGGGGGUGCUUGGGUGGCUUAGUUGGUUAAGUAUCCGACUCUUGAUUUUGGCUCAGGUCAUGAUCUCAGGGUCAUGAGACUGAGCCCCACAUCGGGCUUUGUACUCAGUGUGUAGUCUGCUUGUCCUCUGUCUGCUCCCCUCCUCUGUCCUUGUUCUCCCUCUCUUUCUCUAAAAUAAAUUAUAUAUAUAUUUAA